rnacentral:lncRNA from 1 species
UCGCUGAUCAUGUUUUGUAAUUAUAUGUAACCAUAAUUAAAUGUACAAAUGCCAUUAGAGACGUAAUUUUAUAUAAAGUUGGGCGUAAGUGUGUUAAGUCAUUUUAAGUUUUGUACAGAACCGUAUACAAAUAUACACUACAAUGACUUGUUUGUUACAUUCAGUGAAAUUACGAACCAGGAAGUUAUCCCCUUAAUAGGUUGUUACUAUCGUUAGUACUUCAUCGUUUUCAUAAUCAAAAGCAUUUUAUUUGUAUGAUACUUAAGUAAAUUCGAAUACCCAAAGAUCUUUUCUCUGCAUGUCAUUUUGAUCUUUUUGAUCGUUGGUUUUAAAAAAAAAUGUUGUGACAUGUAACUAAAAGUUUAUUGAUUCUCCAAAUCAUAAUGUCAGAAAGCUUCAAGUACUAUAGAAUCGAAUAUGCCAAGUUUUAUGCAAAGAUGUCUCUGACAUCUCAUUGAUAUUGAACUAUCUUUCAUAUUUACCUUUCUCUAUUAAAAAGGCAACGCAUUG